rnacentral:rRNA from 1 species
CAGCCGCCGCGGUAAAACCAGCACCUCGAGUGGUCAGGAGGUUUAUUGGGCCUAAAGCAUCCGUAGCCGGUUGCAUAAGUUUUCGGUUAAAUCUAUGCGCUUAACGUAUAGGCCGCCGAAAAUACUGUGCAGCUAGGGAGUGGGAGAGGUACACGGUACUCGAUAGGAAGGGGUAAAAUCCUUUGAUCUAUUGAUGACCACCUGUGGCGAAGGCGGUGUACCAGAACACGUUCGACGGUGAGGGAUGAAAGCUGGGGGAGCAAACCGGAUUAGAUACCCGCGUAGUCCCUGUCUCUUAUAC